rnacentral:sRNA from 2 species
UAUUUUGCCCUACAGGGAAGGAUGAGAAGCUUCGACUAAGGUUCGACUCGAGCGAAGCGAGAGAACGUUGCCGCAGGCAACGGCCCGAAGGGCGAGGCGCUUUAGCGCCGAGUAAUCCUUCCCCCACCACCA